CCUGCAGGUGGGGAGCAGGGGUAUGAUCCCAGGACCUUCUUCAUGGCAAGGGAAGCACUAAGAAAGUGCCCAGGAACCGAAGGAGAACCUGGGGAGCAAUCCAGAAGACGGUGGCGUUGCCAGUUCAACCUGGGUCCUUGCACAUGGUUAUAUGUGCAUUCAACCAGGUUCUGGAUGCCAGCAUAAUGCCGACCAGACGUCCCUGGACUGAAGACCCCACCAAUAUGUCCUGGAGCUCUGCUUCCCCAGAGACCCACCCUACUAGGGAAAGAGAGAGGCAGACUGGGAGUAUGGAUCCACCUGUCAAUGUCCAUGUUCAGCGGGGAAGCAAUUACAGAAGCCAGACCUUCCACCUUCUGCAACCCACAGUGACCCUGGGUCCAUGCUCCCAGAGGGAUAGAGAAUGGGAAAGCUAUCAGGGGAGGGGAUGGGAUACAGAGAUUGGGUGGUGGGAACUGUGUGGCGUUGUACCCCUCCUACCCUA